UACGUAGGGGGCUAGCGUUGUCCGGAAUCAUUGGGCGUAAAGAGCGUGUAGGCGGCCAUACAGGUCCGUUGUGAAAACUGGAGGCUUAACCUCCAGACGUCAUGGAAACCGUAUGGCUAGAGUCCGGAAAGAGGAGAGUGGAAUUCCUGGUGUAGCGGUGAAAUGCGCAGAUAUCAGGAAGAACACCCGUGGCGAAGGCGGCUCUCUGGGACGGUACUGACGCUGAGACGCGAAAAGCGUGGGGGAGCGAACAGG
rnacentral:rRNA from 1 species